UAGAAGAAAGCAGAAGCGACGGCCCCUAAUUAAGCACGAGAAGCAACGUUGCUUCUUGGACAGGUGUCGUGACUCUCUCUCUCUCUGGUUUAUUCGCGAAGAAGGAAGAAGGAAGAAGAAGCCAUGGCAGGAGUAUGACCGAUGACUCAGGAUUGGAGCCUGUGGUGACUCGGACUUUCAGCCUCGCCUCUUUCUGCCUCGACGGGUCCAAACUCACCGAGGAUCCCGACGGUGGUGAUCCCGCCCGUUUCGUCCUCAGAAACCUUCGAAUCCGUUUCCGGCACUACCGCAAAGCAUAACAAUGAUUGGUUCUCUGUCUCUCUCUCUCUGCCGAUUACAAAAAUCGUAUGCAUUUGUGUCGAAUCAAGCAUCUGUUUUGAGAAUUGAUAGAUAAAAGCUUUGUUGUUUUGUGAUUGUAUUUGGAUUUUGAGAAGGAAAAAAAACCGCUGACUUUGUUUCUUUUUGUUCUCUAUCUCUCUCUGUUGAUCACGAAAACCGCAUCCAUCUGAGUCGAAUUGAAAGGAUGCAUCUGAGUCGAAUUGAAACAGCUGAGUCAGAUCGUAAGGUAAAUAAUUAGUGAAAGAGUGGAGCUCUCAGGUGGUGAUCACUAGCAUUACUAUAGGAGGCCUUCUAUUGCUUAUUGGAAGCCAUCAGAAAGAAAAGGUACGUUAUUGGAACAACAUCAAGAAUGGCUUUUCUAGUGAACUGAUCUUAGUGAUGGUUGGUUGUGGCUUUAAGUUUCUUGUUCUGUUUUAUGUAGUUUUUGUUAUGAAAAAACGUAUCACGGUUUUAAUGUAGUUUAAAUGUUCUUGGUUAUUGUCAAAUGUU